UACAGAGGGUGCGAGCGUUAAUCGGAAUUACUGGGCGUAAAGCGUGCGUAGACGGUUAUCUAAGUCGGAUGUGAAAGCCCCGGGCUCAACCUGGGAAUUGCAUUCGAGACUGAAUAGCUAGGGUGCGGUAGAGGGAAGCGGAAUUUCCGGUGUAGCGGUGAAAUGCGUAGAUAUCGGAAGGAACAUCAGUGGCGAAAGCGGCUUCCUGGACCAGCACCGAACGUCAGGCACGAA
rnacentral:rRNA from 1 species